AGAAACGAAACUCUACUGUACAUAAAUAGGAGGAGAGAGAAGAAGAAAUUUAAGACUGAAAAGCAGAAUCCAGGAGUGAUACCUCCGUCAAGCCUCUCACGCCAUGGGUGCUGCGCUCUUCAGUCCACUCUCAAGUUUACUAGCCGACACAACCACAAUGAUUACACCCCGUGGACAUCUCUCGCCACUUUCAGUGCCCCAUGUGCAAAAACCUGCUGACAGAUCCAGUCUCCACCACCUGUGGACACACCUUCUGCAAGGACUGUCUGGACAAGCACAUCAGCAGGUCUGAGCCGCAGUGCCCUCUCUGCCAGGAGCCCGUGACC